AACCCCUGAGCUGACUGCUGUGCAAACCAAAAUAAUCUGCAAACACUCCUCUGAUGUGUUAAGCAACUUUGCUGAACGUUUGAUGGAGAG